UACGUAGGUGACAAGCGUUAUCCGGAUUUACUGGGCGUAAAGGGCGUGUAGGCGGUUUGGCAAGUCAGAAGUGAAAUUCCUGAGCUCAACUCGGGCGCUGCUUCUGAAACUGCUAGACUUGAGUGCUGGAGGGGAUAGCGGAAUUCCUAGUGGAGCGGUAAAAUGCGCAGAUAUUAGGAAGAACACCGGUGGCGAAGGCGGCUAUCUGGACAGUAACUGACGCUGAGGCGCGAAAGCGUGGGGAGCAAACAGG
rnacentral:rRNA from 1 species